rnacentral:lncRNA from 1 species
AAAAAUGUUUCUUGUGAUAUCACUGCUGAAGAAAAUAUCACUUUGAAAUAUUACUUUUUUAAAGUUCAGUUUCUGAGUCCUACUUUUAAUACUUGAAGACACAAUGACAAUUUUAAAUUUUUUAUUUAUAUAUUUUCUAGUAUAUUAGGAUGAGUAAGAAUUAAUUAAAAUAUUAGAGGCUGUAGGGUCUAAAAUAGUUAUUAAGGACAAUAUGGAAAGACCAUCUUUCAGAAGGCUGAAAUUGAAAAGGAAGCAAUUCCAGCUGUGCAGUUGGAGAGUAAAUGGCCUGUGAAGUAACUGAACCAAGUUCCUCAACAUCUUAAGGUGAGGGCAUUUUCAAAUUGUGAAAAAUCCUUAUUAUGAAAUUAGAGUUUUAUUACAUGAAUCUUUUGAUCAGUUGUCAUCUUGGGAAGACUAACUUCAAUAAUUGGUCUGGAGAGAGGAUGGGGCAAAAACUUACAUGGGGAAUUCUAUAGCCUCUGUGUGAGGAAGAGGUUAGAGAUAAAAAUGGUGUUUUUACUUAAAAAAAAAAAAAAAAGAAAAAGAAAGGAGCAACAUGCAUGUUCAGUCCUGAUUGCUUUCUGGAUCUUGCUAAAGCUGCUAGAACAUUUCCUGUGUUAUCGAUUUUGUAUAUUACCUCAGUUCACCUCUGCUGACAGCAGUUGGUUUAGCUGCACUGGGAUUCAUCCAAUAUUCCCAACCGUGAUGUUAAUUCUAUGGCAAAGUAAAUAAAAGCUCUGUUCUGACGUCAUAAUCGCUGAGUUGGAACCUGGCUUUGCCACAGGCAUGCCUUCACAGAAGUCACUUAACUAAGUCUAGGUUCCUCAUCUGUGAACUGAGAAAACUAAAAGCACUGAUUCCAUGGGGUGCUUAGGAAGAAGUCACCCAUGACUAUCUGGAACAACAUUGUGGGGAAGGCCAAGUUUCUGGUGCGGUCUUACUAAGUUGCCCAGGCUGGUCUUGUACUCUUGGCCUCAAGCAAUCCUCCCACCUCAGCCUCCCAAAGCACUGGGAUUACACACAUGAGCUACUAGGCCCGGCCUCUUCUGUCUUUUUGUAGUGGUGACGUGUGGCAAAUGGAUUGUAAAUGAAGAUAGACUGUGUAAUGAAUGACGACACUAAAGACUAAUGUGAAGGACUUUAGGGAAAACAAAAGGCUUUCAUCUGAAAGGAUGAUCUGUGGACCAAGGUCACUCAUACCACUCACUGCUCAUUUUCUCAUGUUAUUUUAAAACUUUUUUCGGCCUUUAUACUGCUUUCAGCAGCAUUUGUGUGUAAGAAGUGGACGAUGACUUUAAUAAAGAGACCCGAAU